rnacentral:tRNA from 1 species
AGCUCAAACCUUUUUGCUUACC